rnacentral:rRNA from 1 species
UAGGGAAUCUUCCGCAAUGGGCGAAAGCCUGACGGAGCAACGCCGCGUGAGUGAUGAAGGUCUUCGGAUCGUAAAACUCUGUUAUUAGGGAAGAACAAAUGUGUAAGUAACUAUGCACGUCUUGACGGUACCUAAUCAGAAAGCCACGGCUAACUACGUGCCAGCAGCCGCGGUAAUACGUAGGUGGCAAGCGUUAUCCGGAAUUAUUGGGCGUAAAGCGCGCGUAGGCGGUUUUUUAAGUCUGAUGUGAAAGCCCACGGCUCAACCGUGGAGGGUCAUUGUAAACUGGAAAACUUGAGUGCAGAAGAGGAAAGUGGAAUUCCAUGUGUAGCGGUGAAAUGCGCAGAGAUAUGGAGGAACACCAGUGGCGAAGUCGACUUUCUGGUCUGUAACUGACGCUGAUGUGCGAAAGCGGGGGGAUCAAACAGG